rnacentral:rRNA from 1 species
AGCGCAGGCGGACCGGCAAGUUGGAAGUGAAAACUAUGGGCUCAACCCAUAAAUUGCUUUCAAAACUGCUGGCCUUGAGUAGUGCAGAGGCAGGUGGAAUUCCCGGUGUAGCGGUGGAAUGCGUAGAUAUCGGGAGGAACACCAGUGGCGAAGGCGGCCUACUGGGCACCAACUGACGCUGAGGCUCGAAAGUGUGGGUAGCAAACA